CUUCCGUUUAGCCUCAUUGAGUUUCCACCAGCAGAGAAGAGCAGCACAGACAAAGGCCCCAAGUGAAGAGGUGUCGCCUGAGCUCCGAGAUCGCUCUGUUAGUCACACCACGAGGAUGGCACAGUGUCAUUAAUGAGUGCAAUUGAAGACCACUUGGAGGGGCACAUGCGCAGUUGGUGCCAUUGUAGUUGUGCAUGCGUGGACACAACAAAAUAGAAGGUACACAGAUGUCUGCACAGACCAUCGUGUUUACCCUCUGAUGACAAAUUUACAUCACAUGGACCCUCGCGGACACUCGCGGAAAACUCAACACUAACUUCUCUUCAAAAUAUUUUGAUCAUCUUGUGUUAAAACAUUUUUUUAAAAUCAUAUCUGUUAUUUCUACCUCAUCAAGAAACCCAAAAUCUAUGAAUAUUAAUUUCAAACGUUUAACAAUUGGACAUGAGAUGUCUCCUACUUCAUUUAAAAGUUGAUCCUCAUUGUAUGUACUCUUUAAAUUCCCACGUUGCACGUGUGUAAGUUGCAUUUUGGUUCAUGUUUGGCUCAAAACUAGUGGUGCUGUCAUCAACCCAGCUCAUAUGUCCAAAUCUUAAACUGAGACUUAAGGUGAGCUCAGACAGACUUUCCCCCCUCAAACAGGUAAACGUGAAUACCGUCUUCUGCACAGUGAAGCUGCAGUAUCCAAGUGACAAUAACAAUAAGAAAAACACAGUUUAGUGUGGAGGUGGAUGUUAAAAGGAUUGUCCUGCAUGAAGGUCUAUUUGGUUAAAUAUGUGCAAGUAGAUUUUUGAAAUUGGAUUUUUGUUUGAACAGUAAUGUGUAAGAAUAGUUAUGACUUCAUCAUCAAAUCAUGCCUGACUGACUUUUCCUGCUUCAGAGAAAUAAAAAAGAAACUGAGUCAUCAGACAAUGUGAGAGUAAAGAGGAAGUAGAAAUAUAAAACACUGGUUUUAAGGUAUUAAAUGAUAAAUUGCAUCUUCUUGCGUCCCUAAAACAAUUUUGCGAAUAUUACUGUUAAAGUUCCUCUCCAAACACGUUUAAAUUAUGUAAAAAUACAUAAAAUAAACAAAGGAUUUCUGGGGAAACAGGAAGCACAUCACUUAUUUCCUCAUUGAGAAAUUCUGGAUUAGGCUUUGUGUCCCGCUCACCACUGCCAGAGGAGACACUGGAGAGGCUCAGCCACAUGUUUGAGCCUCAGUCAGACCUUUAGAGGUCAGACACAGACUCCGAUGAGGAGACUGUUGAUACCCGAAUCGUAUCAGAACAGUUACUGUAGUUAGCAUCUUUUAUUUGUUUGUUGUUUGUUAGCUUGUAACUAGCAGUGGCUGACACAGUGUUAGUGGUUGUGCUAAUGCAAACUCUCGCUGUCUGUACUGACAAGCUUUCAGGGUUAUUUCAGGCUGACAUGAUUGGCUCCUUAGUUAUAUGACGUAUGAAUCACUGGCUGUCUGAAUCUGUUUUUAGGAGACUCAUUGGUUCACUGCAGUUCUGAGGUGGAAAUGUGUGGUCAUGAUGACUGAUUAUUUCGCUCAUGUCUUGUAUUGUAUAAAAAAAGCACCAUAUGGAUGUUACCAAGGUUAAAAACUUGAUUUUUAUCAAGCA